rnacentral:rRNA from 1 species
CGGGUGAGUACGCGUGGGAACAUACCCUUUCCUGCGGAAUAGCUCCGGGAAACUGGAAUUAAUACCGCAUACGCCCUACGGGGGAAAGAUUUAUCGGGGAAGGAUUGGCCCGCGUUGGAUUAGCUAGUUGGUGGGGUAAAGGCCUACCAAGGCGACGAUCCAUAGCUGGUCUGAGAGGAUGAUCAGCCACAUUGGGACUGAGACACGGCCCAAACUCCUACGGGAGGCAGCAGUGGGGAAUAUUGGACAAUGGGCGCAAGCCUGAUCCAGCCAUGCCGCGUGAGUGAUGAAGGCCUUAGGGUUGUAAAGCUCUUUCACCGGAGAAGAUAAUGACGGUAUCCGGAGAAGAAGCCCCGGCUAACUUCGUGCCAGCAGCCGCGGUAAUACGAAGGGGGCUAGCGUUGUUCGGAAUUACUGGGCGUAAAGCGCACGUAGGCGGAUAUUUAAGUCAGGGGUGAAAUCCCAGAGCUCAACUCUGGAACUGCCUUUGAUACUGGGUAUCUUGAGUAUGGAAGAGGUAAGUGGAAUUCCGAGUGUAGAGGUGAAAUUCGUAGAUAUUCGGAGGAACACCAGUGGCGAAGGCGGCUUACUGGUCCAUUACUGACGCUGAGGUGCGAAA